GAGGAAGGCGGGCGGCGUGCCUAAUACAUGCAAGUCGAGCGAACAGACGAGGAGCUUGCUCCUCUGACGUUAGCGGCGGACGGGUGAGUAACACGUGGAUAACCUACCUAUAAGACUGGGAUAACUUCGGGAAACCGGAGCUAAUACCGGAUAACAUGUUGAACCGCAUGGUUCAACAGUGAAAGACGGUUUUGCUGUCACUUAUAGAUGGAUCCGCGUCGCAUUAGCUAGUUGGUAAGGUAACGGCUUACCAAGGCAACGAUGCGUAGCCGACCUGAGAGGGUGAUCGGCCACACUGGAACUGAGACACGGUCCAGACUCCUACGGGAGGCAGCAGUAGGGAAUCUUCCGCAAUGGGCGAAAGCCUGACGGAGCAACGCCGCGUGAGUGAAGAAGGUCUUCGGAUCGUAAAACUCUGUUAUUAGGGAAGAACAAAUGUGUAAGUAACUAUGCACGUCUUGACGGUACCUAAUCAGAAAGCCACGGCUAACUACGUG
rnacentral:rRNA from 1 species